rnacentral:rRNA from 1 species
AGUUAAGUUAGAAAGGGCGCACGGUGGAUGCCUUGGCACUAGGAGCCGAUGAAGGACGGGAUUAACACCGAUAUGCUUUGGGGAGCUGUAAGUAAGCUUUGAUCCAGAGAUUUCCGAAUGGGGAAACCCUCUAUCCGUAAUGGGAUAGAAUCUUUACCUGAAUACAUAGGGUACUGAAGGCAGACCCGGGGAACUGAAACAUCUAAGUACCCGGAGGAAGAGAAAGCAAACGCGAUUCCCUGAGUAGCGGCGAGCGAAACGGGAUUAGCCCAAACCAAGAGGCUUGCCUCUUGGGGUUGUAGGACACUCUAUAUGGAGUUACAAAGGAACGGGGUAGACGAAUCGAUCUGGAAAGGUCAGUCGUAGAAGGUAAAAACCCUGUAGUCGAAACUUCGUUCCCUCUUGAGUGUAUCCUGAGUACGGCGGGACACGAGAAAUCCCGUCGGAAGCAGGGAGGACCAUCUCCCAAGGCUAAAUACUCCCUAGUGACCGAUAGUGAACCAGUACCGUGAGGGAAAGGUGAAAAGCACCCCGGAAGGGGAGUGAAAUAGAUCCUGAAACCGUGUGCCUACAAGUAGUUAGAGCCCAUUUAUGGGUGAUAGCGUGCCUUUUGUAGAAUGAACCGGCGAGUUACGAUUACAUGCGAGGUUAAGUUGAUAAGACGGAGCCGCAGCGAAAGCGAGUCUGAAUAGGGCGAAAUAGUAUGUGGUUGUAGACCCGAAACCAGGUGAUCUACCCAUGUCCAGGGUGAAGUCCAGGUAACACUGGAUGGAGGCCCGAACCCACGCACGUUGAAAAGUGCGGGGAUGAGGUGUGGGUAGCGGAGAAAUUCCAAUCGAACUUGGAGAUAGCUGGUUCUCUCCGAAAUAGCUUUAGGGCUAGCCUCAAGAUUUAGAGUAUUGGAGGUAGAGCACUGUUUGGACUAGGGGCCCCCAUCGGGUUACCGAAUUCAGACAAACUCCGAAUGCCAAAUACUUAUUCUUGGGAGUCAGACUACGAGUGAUAAGAUCCGUGGUCAAGAGGGAAACAGCCCAGACCACCAGCUAAGGUCCCAAAGUAUACGUUAAGUGGAAAAGGAUGUGGAGUUGCUUAGACAACCAGGAUGUUGGCUUAGAAGCAGCCACCAUUUAAAGAGUGCGUAAUAGCUCACUGGUCGAGUGACUCUGCGCCGAAAAUGUACCGGGGCUAAACGUAUCACCGAAGCUGUGGAUUGACAUCUAUGAUGUCAGUGGUAGGAGAGCGUUCUAAGGGCGUUGAAGCUAGACCGUAAGGACUGGUGGAGCGCUUAGAAGUGAGAAUGCCGGUAUGAGUAGCGAAAGAUGAGUGAGAAUCUCAUCCACCGAAUGCCUAAGGUUUCCUGAGGAAGGCUCGUCCGCUCAGGGUUAGUCGGGACCUAAGCCGAGGCUGAAAAGCGUAGGCGAUGGACAACAGGUUGAUAUUCCUGUACCACCUUUAAAUCGUUUGAGCAAUGGGGGGACGCAGGAGGAUAGGGUAAGCGUGCUGUUGGAUUAGCACGUCCAAGCAGUUAGGCCGGUAAUGAGGCAAAUCCCAUUACCAUACGGCGGAGCUGUGACGGCGAGGGAAAUAUAGUACCGAAGUUCCUGAUUCCACACUGCCAAGAAAAGCCUCUAGCGAGAUUUAUGGUGCCCGUACCGCAAACCGACACAGGUAGGCGAGGAGAGAAUCCUAAGGUGAGCGAGAGAACUCUCGUUAAGGAACUCGGCAAAAUGACCCCGUAACUUCGGGAGAAGGGGUGCUCUUUUGGGUGUUAAAGCCCGAGAGAGCCGCAGUGAAUAGGCCCAGGCGACUGUUUAGCAAAAACACAGGUCUCUGCGAAGCCGCAAGGCGAAGUAUAGGGGCUGACACCUGCCCGGUGCUGGAAGGUUAAGAGGAGGGGUUAGCACGUAAGUGCGAAGCUCUGAAUUGAAGCCCCAGUAAACGGCGGCCGUAACUAUAACGGUCCUAAGGUAGCGAAAUUCCUUGUCGGGUAAGUUCCGACCCGCACGAAAGGUGUAACGAUCUGGGCACUGUCUCAACGAGAGACUCGGUGAAAUUAUAGUACCUGUGAAGAUGCAGGUUACCCGCGACAGGACGGAAAGACCCCGUGGAGCUUUACUGCAGCCUGAUAUUGAAUUUUGGUACAGCUUGUACAGGAUAGGUAGGAGCCUUGGAAGCCGGAGCGCUAGCUUCGGUGGAGGCAUUGGUGGGAUACUACCCUGGCUGUAUUGACAUUCUAACCCGCACCCCUUAUCGGGGUGGGAGACAGUGUCAGGUGGGCAGUUUGACUGGGGCGGUCGCCUCCUAAAAAGUAACGGAGGCGCCCAAAGGUUCCCUCAGAAUGGUUGGAAAUCAUUCGUAGAGUGUAAAGGCACAAGGGAGCUUGACUGCGAGACCUACAAGUCGAGCAGGGACGAAAGUCGGGCUUAGUGAUCCGGUGGUUCCGCAUGGAAGGGCCAUCGCUCAACGGAUAAAAGCUACCCCGGGGAUAACAGGCUUAUCUCCCCCAAGAGU